rnacentral:lncRNA from 1 species
AUGUUAUAUGAUACACAUAUGCCAAGGCUUCUGUGGAUGCAGCAGUGGUCCAGCCCUUGCCAUGAGAAACAAGGACACCAUCUCAGCUCUACUGCAGCUUACAGAAAAAAGGACUUACAGAAUUUGUCAUGUCUGCAAAUACGUGAUAUGUACUUCAAAUUCCCGCUGCUUAUAAAGCAGCAGGAAGAGAGAAAUGAUGUUAAUGCAAGUUGACUGGUGCCAAAGAGUCUAAACAGCUCAGUCACUUUGGCAUCCCCAUCCAAGGUUCCAUGCACAUCUUUGCAGCAGUGUCCUCAGACUGCAGACAAGUGCACACAAGGUAGGAAACACCACACGGGGAAAAAGCGUGCACUGUUACAUAGCAGAACAACAUACAGUAGUUGCACUGCCUAGUGAUAAACACUCCUCUGUCAUAGAUAUGCCGUGUGUUUUUCUUAUAUGAUGACUGCUUGCAUGAAUGCUAAGACAGCUUUCAUUGUCCUCCAUAUCCAAGCAGACAAAAAUGAAGAAGAAGAAAGGAAGAUUAUUUAAAGGAAGGAAGAUUAUUUUCUCACUAAGCAAAGCUGUGGUGGGCUCUGUAAAAAUAAACCUGGUUAUUCUGGCA